rnacentral:lncRNA from 1 species
CUGGCUCCGAAAAAAUCAUGAUGUUACUUUGCUGACGAGAGUUAACAAUUUAAACCAACCAGUGAGAGUAAUGAUAGCCUAUAUUUUUACGUCUGUAGUUUAUAACGUACACCACCAAGUUUCUUAAGAAAGAAUUUAGCCGUAGAACUAACCAAAGAGUAUUGGAAUCUCAGAGUUCCUCGAGCAGAAUGCGACGCAAGCUUACAUAUUCUGCAACAAGGCAGAGGAUGCUGAUCUGAUUGUUUUGGCCUUCCGCGGCACCGAACCUUUCAAUGCCCAGGACUGGUCGACUGAUGUCGAUCUUUCCUGGCUCUUUACAGGCAAAAUGGGGAACGUCCACCUGGGAUUCCUCAAAGCACUUGGUCUCCAAGAUGAGAAGAACUUCCUUAAAGGGUUCCCUAAGGACUACAAUAGCGCUCCUGACAAACCUGUGGCAUAUUAUGCCUUAAGAGAACAACUCAGGUCUCUAAUCCAACAACACAAGAAUGCAAAGAUUGUUGUGACUGGACACAGCUUGGGUGGUGCACUCGCAGCCAUCUUCCCUGCUUUGCUUUCCUUCCAUAAUGAGAAUGAUAUUUUGAGUUCCAUGUAUGGUGCCUUGACUUACGGGCAGCCAAGAGUUGGAGAUGCUCUCUUUGGGACUUAUAUCGAAACCAUUGUGAGAUUGAAGCAUUACAGAAUGGUGUAUAGGUAUGAUAUCGUCCCUCGAGUCCCAUUCGAUCUGCCUCCGGUCGCUCUGUUCAAGCAUUUUGGUACUUGUAUCUACUACAAUGGCUGGUAUAAUGGACAGGUAUGCUUUCUUUUUUAUAGAACGGUACUAGCUAAUGAUGCUGUGCUGCUGUUAGAAUUUGCUUCAUGAAUUCUUACCACAUGUUCAGGUGGUGACAGAAGCCCCAAACGCCAACUACUUUGAUCCGAUGUACGUGAUUCCUGUGUACUGGAGCGCUUGGAGCGACCUCUUCAAGGCUCUCUUCUUGGGUGCAACACAAGGCCGGGACUUCAAGGAAAGCUUUACCUCGAUCAUUUACAGGCUAUUUGGGCUCAUCAUUCCUGGAGUCGCGUUCCACAGCCCAAGAGACUACGUCAAUGGCGGAAGAUUGGCUAAGAUUGCAGACAAGAUUAUGGUCUAAAAAGAAGGAUGAUUUAGAUGCUAUGGUGUGCCGAAGGAAAAUAAGUGUCUGGGUUUAGUGGAUUGUGUUGGAGAAGCCGUUGUUGUCACAUGGUUUGUGUUUGUUUUCCGCUCCUCCUUAUAAUAAAUAAGCAAGUUUUACAAUAAAUGGGCCUGGUCUAUAAUUUGAUAUAAAAUGUGUAGUUUCAGAAUAUGAUAUCGAUCCUGAACUAGUUGAUUUACUAACGAUGUAUGGCCCACAGUUGCUUUUUGCUGAUAUCACCAAUGCAUAAGCCAACAUGGGCCUCGAUUCAUGGUGUUCUUUGCUUGAAGCUUAUGCUUGAUGCUUAUCACUCUUACUCUGGUCAUAAUGUUAAUGCUGCAAAAUUUCACAUCAAUUUCAGUCCCUCUGCUCCCAGAAGAACUAGGAAGUUAAUCAUUAGCCUUUUUAAUAUACCGGUCAAAUGAGGUGUCUGGAAAUCCUUGGGAGUCCUGCUGAUAGGUACGGACCUUACUGCAUCUAACAGAGCUCCUUUUUCAAAUAUUAUUUUUAUUAUUUAUUUUCAAAAAUAUUUCUAUCGCUAACUUAUUUUUCAUUUUACCUUGGGGAUCAUGCCACGCGUGCAAUCAUGGGUUCAACAUAAGAUUUUAACACCGUCUCAACUGAAAUCAUAGGUUAAAUCUAUCAUGAUUUUGAAUUUAGCUGACCAAAAUCAUGGGUUCACAUUUUUGCUGGAUAAUGUGCCAAUCUGAAAUCGUGAAUUCAACUCAUGAUUUUAGUAAAAUCAUAGAUUAAACUUGUGAUUUCACUUGAAAAUCAUGGACUCAGCCCGCAUUUUCAUUGAAAUUAACCUACGAUUUCAAUGUUUUUAAGAUCCAAUCUAGCCCACUGUGCUCUCCAUCUACCCGGAAAAUCUCUUUCCUUGUUGAUAACCUAGAUUUUUCACAGUUUUUGAGAAAAGUAAAUCUCAUACAAUUGAAAGAAAAUAGAUAAUUUUGAACAGACCAGAUCAGAAGUCAUAUGGAAACUUUGUAAUAUUGGAAGCCUGGAUCCACAAAAGGUAUCUUGAUUAAAAAAUGGCACCUGCAGUGCCUGCCACUGUUUGCUUAAAAAACAAUAUUUUCUACAGAGUUGGAGAUAGAGAGAGAGAGAGAGGAAGAGAACGAGCAUCGUAGUAAUAUCAGAUGACUAAUUUUUUUAUUUUAAUAUUGCAGAUGCACUUUGUGGGCUUCUUUGAUUGCUGGAACAAUAAGUAUUCUAAUCAAACUGGCUCCAGAAAAAUCAUGAUGUUACUUUGCUGACGAGAGUUAACAAUUUAAACCAAUCAGUGAGAGUAAUGAGAGCCUAUAUUUUCGUGUCUGUAGUUUAUAACGUACACCACCAAGUUUCUUAAGAAAGAAUUUAGCCAUAGAACCAACCAAAGAGUAUUGGAAUCUCAGAGUUCCUCGAGAAGAAUGCGACGCAAGCUUACAUAUUCUGCAAUUAGGCAGAGGAUGCUGAUCUGAUUGCUUUGGCCUACCGCGGCACCAAACCUUUCAAUGCCCGAGACUGGUCGACUGAUGUCGAUCUUUCCUGGCUCUUCACAGGCAAAAUGGGGAACGUCCACCUGGGAUUCCUCAAGCACUUGGUCUCCAAGAUGAGAAGAACUUCUUUGAAGGGUUCCCUAAGGACUACUAUGGCACUCCCGACAAUCCUGUGGCAUAU